CUAGCUACAGGCUUAACACAUGCAAGUCGAGGGGCAUCAGGAAGAAAGCUUGCUUUCUUUGCUGGCGACCGGCGCACGGGUGAGUAACACGUAUCCAACCUGCCCUUUACUCGGGGAUAGCCUUUCGAAAGAAAGAUUAAUACCCGAUAGCAUAAUGAUUCCGCAUGGUUUCAUUAUUAAAGGAUUCCGGUAAAGGAUGGGGAUGCGUUCCAUUAGGUUGUUGGUGAGGUAACGGCCCACCAAGCCUUCGAUGGAUAGGGGUUCUGAGAGGAAGGUCCCCCACAUUGGAACUGAGACACGGUCCAAACUCCUACGGGAGGCAGCAGUGAGGAAUAUUGGUCAAUGGGCGCUAGCCUGAACCAGCCAAGUAGCGUGAAGGAUGAAGGCUCUAUGGGUCGUAAACUUCUUUUAUAUAAGAAUAAAGUGCACCAUGUAUACUGUUUUGUAUGUAUUAUAUGAAUAAGGAUCGGCUAACUCCGUGCCAGCAGCCGCGGUAAUACAGAGGAUCCGAGCGUUAUCCGGAUUUAUUGGGUUUAAAGGGAGCGUACGUGGACUGGUAAGUCAGUUGUGAAAGUUUUGCGGCUCAACCGUAAAAUUGCAGUUGAUACUGUCAGUCUUGAGUACAGUAGAGGUGGGCGGAAUUCGUGGUGUAGCGGUGAAAUGCUUAGAUAUCACGAAGAACUCCGAUUGCGAAGGCAGCUCACUGGACUGCAACUGACACUGAUGCUCGAAAGUGUGGGUAUCAAACAGGAUUAGAUACCCUGGUAGUCCACACAGUAAACGAUGAAUACUCGCUGUUUGCGAUAUACAGUAAGCGGCCAAGCGAAAGCAUUAAGUAUUCCACCUGGGAGUACGCCGGCAACGGUGAAACUCAAAGGAAUUGACGGGGGCCCGCACAAGCGGAGGAACAUGUGGUUUAAUUCGAUGAUACGCGAGGAACCUUACCCGGGCUUAAAUUGCAGUGGAAUGAUGUGGAAACAUGUCAGUGAGCAAUCACCGCUGUGAAGGUGCUGCAUGGUUGUCGUCAGCUCGUGCCGUGAGGUGUCGGCUUAAGUGCCAUAACGAGCGCAACCCUUAUCUUUAGUUACUAACAGGUUAUGCUGAGGACUCUGGAGAGACUGCCGUCGUAAGAUGUGAGGAAGGUGGGGAUGACGUCAAAUCAGCACGGCCCUUACGUCCGGGGCUACACACGUGUUACAAUGGGGGGUACAGAAGGCAGCUAGCGGGUGACCGUAUGCUAAUCCCAAAAGCCUCUCUCAGUUCGGAUCGAAGUCUGCAACCCGACUUCGUGAAGCUGGAUUCGCUAGUAAUCGCGCAUCAGCCACGGCGCGGUGAAUACGUUCCCGGGCCUUGUACACACCGCCCGUCAAGCCAUGGGAGCCGGGGGUACCU
rnacentral:rRNA from 1 species